CCGCCUGGGGAGUACGGCCGCAAGGCUAAAACUCAAAGGAAUUGACGGGGAGGCGCACAACCAGUGGAGCAUGUGGUUUAAUUCGAUACAAACCGUUGGACCUCACCUAGGCUUGACAUCCUGAUCGUACCUCUUGGAAACAUGAGGGUCAUUUAGUUGGAUCAGUGACAGGUGUUGCAUGGCUGUCGUCAGUUCGUGUUGUGAGACGUCUGCUUAAGUGCAGUAACGAACGUAACCCGCAUCCUGUGUUGCAUAUCACAGGAAACUGCCUCGCAACAAGCGGGGAGGAAGGAGCGGAUGAUGUCAAGUCAGCAUGACCCUUACGCCUAGGGCAACACACAUCCUACAAUGGGACCGACAAUGGGUUUUGCCAAACCGCGAGGUGGAGCUAAUCCCCUAAACGGUCUCUCAGUUCGGAUUGCAGGCUGAAACUCGCCUGCAUGAAGUUGGAAUUGGUAGUAAACGCGGAUCAGCAAGCCGCGUUGAAUACGUUCUCGCCUCUUGUACACACUGCCCGUCAAGCGAGGAGAGUUGGGGGUACCCGAAGACGUUUGUCUAACCUUUUUGGAAGACGACGCCUAAGGUAAACUCAGCAAUCAGCACUAAGUCGUAACAAGGUAGUCGUACUGGAAGGUGCGGCUGGAUCACCUCCUU
rnacentral:rRNA from 1 species